UUGUAGCUGAUCUUUUGUAGAUAUGUGCACACCUCUUGUSAUCUAUACACCCACAUGUGCACUUUUGUAGGCUUUUCAAGGCCUAUGUUUGCUUCAUACACACACACACAUUGUAAAAGAAUGUUAAUUGAUGAAAUUUAAUACAACUUUCAACAACGGAUCUCUUGGCUCUCGCAUCGAUGAAGAACGCAGCGAAAUGCGAUAAGUAAUGUGAAUUGCAGAAUUCAGUGAAUCAUCGAAUCUUUGAACGCACCUUGCGCUCCUUGGUAUUCCGAGGAGCAUGCCUGUUUGAGUGUCAUUAAAUUAUCAACCUCUUUUUAAAAGAUGCUUGGAUUUGGAGUGUUGCUGGCUUUAUAUGUUGGCUCCUCUUAAAUGCAUUAGCUUGUAGGCUUUGGUUUGAUAAUAUCUAUGCCAUCGCUGUAAUGCAAAAAAAAACAACCUUUUGAAAUUUGACCUCAAAUCAGGUAGG
rnacentral:rRNA from 1 species